GACGAACGCUGGCGGCGUGCUUAACACAUGCAAGUCGAGCGGAAAGGCCCUUCGGGGUACUCGAGCGGCGAACGGGUGAGUAACACGUGAGUAAUCUGCCCUGUGCUUCGGGAUAGCCACCGGAAACGGUGAUUAAUACCGGAUAUGACAUGCUCCUGCAUGGGGGGGUGUGGAAAGUUUUUUCGGCGCAGGAUGUGCUCGCGGCCUAUCAGCUUGUUGGUGGGGUAAUGGCCUACCAAGGCUUCGACGGGUAGCCGGCCUGAGAGGGUGACCGGCCACACUGGGACUGGGACACGGCCCAGACUCCUACGGGAGGCAGCAGUGGGGAAUAUUGGACAAUGGGCGGAAGCCUGAUCCAGCAACGCCGCGUGAGGGAUGACGGCCUUCGGGUUGUAAACCUCUUUCAGCAACGACGAAGCGAGAGUGACGGUAGGUGCAGAAGAAGGACCGGCCAACUACGUGCCAGCCGCCGCCGUAAUAC
rnacentral:rRNA from 1 species